UACAGAGGUCUCAAGCGUUGUUCGGAUUCAUUGGGCGUAAAGGGUGCGUAGGUGGCGAGGUAAGUUGGAUGUGAAAUCCUGGGGCUCAACCCUAGAACUGCAUCCGAAACUGCGAGGCUCGAGUCCUGGAGAGGGUAGUGGAAUUCCCAGUGUAGCGGUGAAAUGCGUAGAUACUGGGAGGAACACCGAUGGCGAAGGCAAUCCCCUGGGCCUGCACUGACGCUCAUGCACGAAAGCGUGGGGAGCAAACAGG
rnacentral:rRNA from 1 species